CGUGGCUUUGUGACGCAUCCAAGU
rnacentral:miRNA from 1 species